rnacentral:rRNA from 1 species
UACGAAGGGUGCAAGCGUUAAUCGGAAUUACUGGGCGUAAAGCGUGCGUAGGCGGUUUGUUAAGUCUGUUGUGAAAUCCCCGGGCUCAACCUGGGAAUGGCAAUGGAUACUGGCAAGCUAGAGUGUGUCAGAGGAUGGUGGAAUUCCCGGUGUAGCGGUGAAAUGCGUAGAGAUCGGGAGGGACACCGGUGGCGAAGGCGGCGACCUGGGACAAUACUGACGCUGAGGUGCGAAAGCGUGGGGGGCAAACAGG